UUUAAACUUUAAUUAAAAAAUGAAGUCAAUUAACAUUUCUGCAGCCUUCACAGUUUUGCAUGAUCACGGCAGACAUUCAACGCUAUCAUGAGACAAAAGUUUAGCUAAAAUCAUUCCUGUCAAAAGGAGUUAAGUAUUAUCUCAUUUGCAAGAAAGGUUUCAGGUUCAUACAACAGUGAGUAUGACAUCAGUCAUCUUCAUACUCUGACAAUCAACAACAACAGCACAGUAUACCGCCAUGUAGUGACUGGGUAGGAAAAAGUGUAUAAUAAAAUCUCUACCACUCAGCAGCACAUGCACUGCUUCGUUCUCAGCCGAGAUCUGCCCUGCGACAAAUUUGUAUAUACUGAUGACUUAGAGGCUCACCUAAGCACAAUAUUAAGGUCUGAAGGGACAACUGACCAUGUAGACCACAUCCCUGGCAAAAGCAAACUAAACUAUUACACAUUUACUGUGCUCUUCAAAACAGAGUCCCGCAAGUGGGUGAUGUGUACCAGUACCAUAUCAGGACAAUAAAUCUAAAGAUGACAACUUAUGGAGACUCACCUUCAUGGCUUCAUUCGUUCUCCGCAGAGCUCAAGAAACAGCAAAAACAAGACAAAAUACAGCACACCAAUCUACAGCUUCAUAGAAUGUCUCCCAGAGGUGGGAGAAUCACAAGUGCGAUACUCAGUUUCAAUGUCCUUUCAACAUCUUGCGACUACUGAGAUACAUAACAAAUCUUAUCUUCAAAUUCUUGAAGUUAACAUGAAUUUCAGGUUCCUAUUUAAGGUGUAAUAAAGUCACUUCAUACCAAA